rnacentral:rRNA from 1 species
GAUGAACGCUGGCGGCGUGCCUAAUACAUGCAAGUCGAGCGAACAGACGAGGAGCUUGCUCCUCUGACGUUAGCGGCGGACGGGUGAGUAACACGUGGAUAACCUACCUAUAAGACUGGGAUAACUUCGGGAAACCGGAGAUAAUACCGGAUAAUAUAUUGAACCGCAUGGUUCAAUAGUGAAAGACGGUUUUGCUGUCACUUAUAGAUGGAUCCGCGCCGCAUUAGCUAGUUGGUAAGGUAACGGCUUACCAAGGCAACGAUGCGUAGCCGACCUGAGAGGGUGAUCAGCCACACUGGAACUGAGACACGGUCCAGACUCCUACGGGAGGCAGCAGUAGGGAAUCUUCCGCAAUGGGCGAAAGCCUGACGGAGCAACGCCGCGUGAGUGAUGAAGGUCUUCGGAUCGUAAAACUCUGUUAUUAGGGAAGAACAAAUGUGUAAGUAACUAUGCACGUCUUGACGGUACCUAAUCAGAAAGCCACGGCUAACUACGUG